AAUUUUGGACAAUGGGGGCAACCCUGAUCCAGCCAUCCCGCGUGUGCGAUGAAGGCCUUCGGGUUGUAAAGCACUUUUGGCAGGGAAGAAAAGGCUCUGGCUAAUACCUGGAGCUGCUGACGGUACCUGCAGAAUAAGCACCGGCUAACUACGUGCCAGCAGCCGCGUUAAUACGUAGGGUGCAAGCGUUAAUCGAAAUUACGGGGCGUAAAGCGUGGCAAGGCGGUUGGGCAAGAGGGAUGUGAAAUCCCAGGGCUAACCCUGGAAACUGCUUUUUAACCGGCCGGCUUAGGGAAUGUCAGAGGGGGUUAGAAUCCCGGGGGAGCCGUUGAAAUGCGAGGGGAUCGGAAGGAAUCCCGUUGGCGAGGGCGGCCCCUGGGAUAAUACUGACGCUCAUGCACGAAAGCGUGGGGAGCAAAC
rnacentral:rRNA from 1 species